rnacentral:rRNA from 1 species
GAUGAACGCUGGCGGCGUGCCUAAUACAUGCAAGUCGAGCGAACUGAUUAGAAGCUUGCUUCUAUGACGUUAGCGGCGGACGGGUGAGUAACACGUGGGCAACCUGCCUGUAAGACUGGGAUAACUUCGGGAAACCGAAGCUAAUACCGGAUAGGAUCUUCUCCUUCAUGGGAGAUGAUUGAAAGAUGGUUUCGGCUAUCACUUACAGAUGGGCCCGCGGUGCAUUAGCUAGUUGGUGAGGUAACGGCUCACCAAGGCAACGAUGCAUAGCCGACCUGAGAGGGUGAUCGGCCACACUGGGACUGAGACACGGCCCAGACUCCUACGGGAGGAAGCAGUAGGGAAUCUUCCGCAAUGGACGAAAGUCUGACGGAGCAACGCCGCGUGAGUGAUGAAGGCUUUCGGGUCGUAAAACUCUGUUGUUAGGGAAGAACAAGUACGAGAGUAACUGCUCGUACCUUGACGGUACCUAACCAGAAAGCCACGGCUAACUACGUGCCAGCCGCCGCUGUAA